ACGGCCACAAUGUGCUGAAAACAACGGUUCUCGUCCGAUCACUUAAGUUAAGUAUCAUCGGGUAUGGUCAGUACUUGGGAGGUUAACCACCUGGGAACACAGCGUGCCGUU